rnacentral:rRNA from 1 species
AUUGAACGCUGGCGGCAUGCCUUACACAUGCAAGUCGAACGGCAGCACGGGUGCUUGCACCUGGUGGCGAGUGGCGAACGGGUGAGUAAUACAUCGGAACAUGUCCUGUAGUGGGGGAUAGCCCGGCGAAAGCCGGAUUAAUACCGCAUACGAUCUACGGAUGAAAGCGGGGGACCUUCGGGCCUCGCGCUAUAGGGUUGGCCGAUGGCUGAUUAGCUAGUUGGUGGGGUAAAGGCCUACCAAGGCGACGAUCAGUAGCUGGUCUGAGAGGACGACCAGCCACACUGGGACUGAGACACGGCCCAGACUCCUACGGGAGGCAGCAGUGGGGAAUUUUGGACAAUGGGCGAAAGCCUGAACCAGCAAUGCCGCGUGUGUGAAGAAGGCCUUCGGGUUGUAAAGCACUUUUGUCCGGAAAGAAAUCCUUGGCCCUAAUACGGUCGGGGGAUGACGGUACCGGAAGAAUAAGCACCGGCUGACUACGUG